rnacentral:lncRNA from 1 species
CCCUUCCCAGGAGGAAGAGGCUCGAGGUUGGGACCCGGAAUGUUUUUCCAGAGACAUUAAGAGAAAGAUGCAAAACGGCUGAAGCUUUUGGAAGAAGGAUUUUAGGAAAUCUUGUCGCAGGCAGUGACUUUGGGGUGAUAAGAAUUGGGAGAAAGUAGUAGAGUAACCGCUCAGGUCCUCCUCCUGAAUCUGAGUGUCAGACUCACUUGCAGAUGAUGAAAGGUCCAGAUCUUGAGGUGGGGCCCAGUCUAAUCUCAUGACCACGACCAGAACCUUCCAGGCUGCGCUCAGGGGAGAUCUGAGUGAUGCUAAGACUUGAGAAGAAAAGCCAGAGAAAUGCAGAGAGGGGCUCACCUGCUGUGGCGGCUGAAAAGAUGGAGAAAGGGGGCCCAAGCCUGGAAUGUGAGCAAUCUCCAGAGCUGGUGAAAGUGUGGAAAUCCUUUGUCCCUGGACCCUUCAUAAAGGAGCACAGCCUAUCCACACUUUGAUUUUAGUCCAGUGACACCAUUUUGGGACUUAGGACCUUGUUCUUGGCAUGUAUUAUCUAACCUGAAUCGAACAUUGGAUUAAACGUCAGGAAGCUCCAAAUGGACAGCGGACCCCUCUUUCCUGCAGAGCUGGCAUUAGCUUUCUAAGUGUGUAUUUUAAAACCUAAUGGCUCUACUUGGGGGAAUUUGGAGCACACAGUAAAGUGAAGAGAUGAGGAAGGUCAAGGGCAAGGGUAGCUCUUUUCAAGGGGUCCAUAUUUAUACCUUGCUAGCUCAGCCUUCCUAAGUUAGAGCAGGGAAGGGCUGUGGGGAAGGUCCAGGGAAAGGUUAGCAUGCACCUUUCUGCAUUUCCCUCUGACACCCACUCCCAGAGAAGGCGCUUGGGAAGCAGAGAGGACCGGUCAGGAAGGCCACAGUCCAAGAGGACAGAGUGGGGAGCUUAUUCAGAUUAACUCAAGUUAAUGAGAAUACUCAAAUUCAACUUAUUUCAUUCAAAU